UACGUAGGGUGCAAGCGUUAAUCGGAAUUACUGGGCGUAAAGCGUGCGCAGGCGGUUAUAUAAGUCAGAUGUGAAAUCCCCGGGCUCAACCUGGGAAAUGCAUUUGAGACUGUAUAAUUAGAGUACGGUAGAGGGGGGUGGAAUUCCACAUGUAGCAGUGAAAUGCGUAGAUAUGCGGAGGAACACCGAUGGCGAAGGCAAUCCCCUGGACCAGUACUGACGCUCAUGCACGAAAGCGUGGGGAGCAAACAGGAUUAGAUACCCUGGUAGUCCACGCCCUAAACGAUGUCAACUGGUUGUUGGGUCUUAACUGACUCAGUAACGAAGCUAACGAGUGAAGUUGACCGCCUGGGGAGUACGGCCGCAAGGUUG
rnacentral:rRNA from 1 species